AGCAUUGAGUGAGUAUUAAAUCACACUUGUUAUUGUAUUUUUUUUUAUUUUUUUUUACUUUUCAGGUUAGAUUAGACAAAGAAAUCAACCAGAGAUUCACAGAGCAGCAGAAAAAUUAACAAAAUUCAGACAGACACAUUUACACAAUUGUCCUUAUUAAAAAAUCUUCAUUCAUUCAUUCAUUCAUUCAUUAUAAACAUUACGGGGGCACCACAGUGUAUUUUGACUGUUUCAUUUAUUCAUGUUUUGACACAAAAUAAUAUUGUUAACCACUAGAAUUAUGCUUUCUAUUUAAAAUCUCAGCUAUGCUAAGGAUUCACAAGAAUAAUGAAUGGCAUGACUUUCAUACACAAUAUUUUUCAGGCGUAUUAAACAGAUCAGCCUCUAGGUGGUACUCUAUUUGUAUACAGUUGAAGCAAAGACUCUUAUCCUCUGGUGGGUUUUCUGGUAAAAUUCUGUGAUCCUUGGACUCAGUCCAGCCUGUUGGAGAACAGACAGGAAGGGUGGGCACACUGAUUGACUUCCUCUCCAUUUCCUGUUCAAUUGCCGGGGCACUUUCGGUAAACCGAUCUUGUGUGACUAGGAGUGACACUUCUUGACAUGUCUUUUUAUCUGUACCGACCAGUCACAGUAGGUGUUGGACGAUUCAGGAUUUAAAAGGGAUAUGGUUGUAUAUCCUGUUUCACAAGCAUAUUAACGUAAUUUUUAUUCUUUAACAUGGAUCAUAUCUAGCUUAAACAGAUUUACUUUCAGCUGUGGUCUCAUCUCUAUCACUGGCAUGAUCCUAAAAUAGCAUGUUAUAGAAUAGAACCUAAUAGCCUAAUACUGAAUAUUAAUUAAAUCAUACUGACGUUCCUUGGUUACCUUGCGGUGUCAAGUCAAGUAGCCUGCUUAAUAUUCAUAAGCCAAACCUUCACCGUAGUAGGAUUGGAUAAUGCGCGCGUUGGGGGAGGGCCCACAUCACUCACGGCGCUGAAGAGAGUGAGCACCGGUGGCGCAUCCACAACUCCCGUGUCCAUUCAAAACAGUCGGCAUUGUACAAGUGCAAGUCACGCACACGGAUAUACCGGCCGUGAGUCAGUCAGGAUACUUUUUGCAACCAAUCUUUGUGAAGCUGAAGAGAUUACACUCAUAUGGAGUGAGGUGCUGUUGCUGUAAUGGAGCUCAGCAGGGGAGAGGUGCCACUUUAUGUGAGUCUGACAGAGCGAUUUUUAUUUUUCUGAUGUCCUGUCACUCUCUGUUUAACUUAUGAAGUUCUAUUCUUUCAUUGUACCUUCAGGAUCUGUCCUUUCAAUUCUCUCAGGGUGCCAAAGGACAAACUCAUUUAUUAAAGACUUUACCUGUGCAUGAGUGAAAACUCCUCUAGAAACUGUUCUGGUUGUCCAAUCUUCUGCAUUUUAUGGACAGCGUCUCUCAUAACCAUGUAAAAUUAUAGAUAACAGGAACAGAAAGUUUAAGUCUAACUUGCAUUCAAAUAGUGUGGUACAGUUUGUGUUUUCAGUUGUUUAUUACCUUAGUCUUGUGAAAUUGCCUCUCUGGAAGUAGGUACAGUUAUUGUGUCUUAAAGAGAAACAAACCUGAAUAACUUUGAUAUUUUGAAAAAAGUUUCAACUGUUGUUCACAGUCAAAAUCAGUGGGGUCCAAAACAACACUGGACUCCACUGUCUUUCAUUGUGCAAAAAAAGGGCAAAACAAAAGACACUAAAACAGUAUUCAAAAUGUCAUUUACACCCUCUUACCCCUUGCAUAAAUAAUUUCAGAAUGCUAUGCUAAUGCUAAUGCUGACAGAAUCCAAAAGAAAACACUGUUAAAGGUUAUUACCUUCAUUAACUUCCCUUAGAUUAUUACUAAGAAGACUUUAGUACUUUAAACUAUAGUACUUUACUGAAUCAUUUAGCCAUUACAUUUUUACAAACUGAUAGAAGCAAUUCUGCUGGAGUAACCUCGGUCACUCCUUGCAAGGUUCAAACCUUCAACCUUUUUAUUAGUAGCCCAAAUCUUUAAACCCUAGGCUACAGGAGUAGAUGUUUGAGAGGUGUUGAUCCCUGGACAGGAGGCCAUUGUGAAUCUGAAGCUCUCUUCAUCGUAUGCUGGCUCAGCUGUAUAAUAACACACAAUCCUUCUCUGUGACCUCAUUAUAAAAGAGGGGCACUAUGUGCUAGUUGUGUAAGCUUUUUAAGGUGUGUGUGACUAUGAUGGGGAUAAUGUGUUAUUGUAAGGGGAUAUGUUGAGAGUUUAAAGCAGACUUGCAUAGUGUCAACUCCCAACUCCCUGUACAGCACUGCAGACAAAGUCUCAUUCACUCAGAGCUAAAAGCAAUUAGUGUGUGUGUUAAAUGCUUUCAGGUGUUCCUGGCCUCAUAUGUGGUACCUAGUGUGUUUGAGGAAGUGUUUUUUUACUUUCAAAUAUGUGCUGCUUGAUCAGUAGUCCAAAUAAAAGGUUUAUAUAUGUUUUAGAAGAUUUUAUU
ensembl:lncRNA